UACGUAGGGUGCGAGCGUUGUCCGGAAUUAUUGGGCGUAAAGAGCUCGUAGGCGGUUUGUUGCGUCGGCCGUGAAAACCCAGGGCUUAACCCUGGGCUGGCUUCCGAUACGGGCAGACUAGAGGUAUGCAGGGGAGAACGGAAUUCCUGGUGUAGCGGUGAAAUGCGCAGAUAUCAGGAGGAACACCGGUGGCGAAGGCGGGAUCCUGGGCCAGUACUGACGCUGAGGAGCGAAAGCGUGGGGAGCAAACAGG
rnacentral:rRNA from 1 species